GAUGAAGAACGUAGUGAAAUGCGAUAAGUAAUGUGAAUUGCAGAAUUCAGUGAAUCAUCGAAUCUUUGAACGCAUCUUGCGCUCCUUGGUAUUCUGAGGAGCAUGCCUGUUUGGGUGUCAUUAAAUUCUCAACUACACUGACUUUGAAUUGGUGUGGCUUGGAUUUGGGGGGAAAAUUGUUGUGGGCUUUUUGUAUAGUCUGCUCCCCUGAAAUUGAUUAGCGGUACCUUUGUGGAACUGUCUACAGGUGUGAUAAUUAUCUACAUCUUAGACAUCUGCUGGAAUGCUGCUUUCUAAACCUUACUUGUAUUGACAAUCUUGACCUCAAAUCAGGUAGGACUACCCGCUGAACUUAAGCAUAUCAAUAAGCGGAGGA
rnacentral:misc_RNA from 1 species